rnacentral:miRNA from 1 species
UUUGAUUGUCCACCUUAUGCUU